rnacentral:rRNA from 1 species
ACCCGCUGAAUUUAAGCAUAUAAGUAAGUGGUGGAAAUUAAACCAACUGGGAUCUCUUCAGUAAUUGCGCAUGAACCAGGAUAUGCUUAGCUUGACAAAUGGAGCUGCUGGCUCUGAAUUGUAUUGUGGGAAUGUAUUACCAACAGAGGUGCAGGUCACACUCCUUGGCAUUGGAAUGCAAAGUGGGUGGUAAGUUUCAUGCAAAGGUAAAUAUGCAAUUGAGACUGAUAGCGCACAAGUACCAUGAGGGACAUAUGAAAAGGACUUUGAAAAGAGAAUUAAAUGAGUUUGUAUUUGCUAAACACAAAGUAAACAGACUUGAUUUCCUCAGUGAGAUUGUAGUGCUUGCUUAACAAUGGGUUUUGGCUGCAAGUGCAAUAAUUCUUGCUUUGUGUGCCAGUUUUUAUGUGGACAUUUGAUUACCUUUGCACAUGAAUGGUAAUUUUCCUGCGGGGUGUGGAUUGCAUAUGCAUGUAAUGAUUUGCAUGUUUGUUAAAUGUGUCUGGUGUAUUUGUUUGUGUCCUUGUCCUGGAGGUUGCUUUCUCCCUUGGGCUUACAUGCCCUGGCACACACAUUCUGGCAAAAUGCUUCUGCUUGACCCGUCUUGAAACACGGUCCAAGG